AUAUCAGUCAUGCAUAGCAUAUCAAUAAGCGGAGGAAAAGAAACUAACAAGGAUUCCCUUAGUAACGGCGAGUGAAGCGGGAAGAGCUCAAAUUUGAAAUCUUCAAGGUUUUACCUUGACGAAUUGUAGUUUAAAGAAGUGUUUUCUGUUGAAGUUUUGGUAAAAGUUCUUUGGAAUAGGACAUCAUAGAGGGUGAGAAUCCCGUAUUUGACCAUUACUUCCAGCUUUGUGAUACACUUUCAAAGAGUCGGAUUGUUUGGGAAUGCAGUCCAAAAUGGGUGGUAAAUUUCAUCUAAAGCUAAAUAUUGGCGAGAGACCGAUAGCGAACAAGUACCGUGAGGGAAAGAUGAAAAGAACUUUGAAAAGAGAGUUAAACAGUACGUGAAAUUGUCAAAAGGGAAGCGUUUGACACCAGUGUUGUUUUCUCGAAAAUCAAUUAAAAAGAGUUGGAUUUUGCGUUGUAUUGACUUUAUCAGCUUUCUUCACUCUUUUCCAGCUUUUUUUAAUGCACUUUUCGUUUAACAAGUCAACAUCAGUUUCUUUUGUUGUAAAAAGGUCAUUGGAAGGGUGGCUUUCUCUUCGGAGAAAGUGUUUAUAGCCUUUGACUCAUGCAAUCGGAGAGACUGAGGUCUGCAGCGUAGAUCCUUCGGGGUUAGAUACAUUUGUGCUAAGUUAUAGCUUUUCAUAGACAACUUGUUGACUAUGUUUAGUCUUGUAGCUUACUCGCUUAUGCUAUUUUACCUACGCUUAGGAUGUUGAACUCUAUCACACACA
rnacentral:rRNA from 1 species